rnacentral:tRNA from 1 species
GCGGGCGUGGUGAAAUUGGUAGACACGCUAGACUUAGGAUCUAGUGCCGUGAGGUGUGAAGGUUCGAGUCCUUUCGCCCGCA